GACCUGGCGGAGCUACACAUCCCAGUCUUUUNCGGUACAGAAAGUUAGCUUGCUCNCUUUGCUGACGAGCGGCGGACGGGUGAGUAAUGCUUGGGAACAUGCCUUGAGGUGGGGGACAACAGUUGGAAACGACUGCUAAUACCGCAUAAUGUCUACGGACCAAAGGGGGCUUCGGCUCUCGCCUUUAGAUUGGCCCAAGUGGGAUUAGCUAGUUGGUGAGGUAAUGGCUCACCAAGGCAACGAUCCCUAGCUGGUUUGAGAGGAUGAUCAGCCACACUGGAACUGAGACACGGUCCAGACUCCUACGGGAGGCAGCAGUGGGGAAUAUUGCACAAUGGGCGCAAGCCUGAUGCAGCCAUGCCGCGUGUGUGAAGAAGGCCUUCGGGUUGUAAAGCACUUUCAGUCAGGAGGAAAGGGUGUGAGUUAAUACCUCACAUCUGUGACGUUACUGACAGAAGAAGCACCGGCUAACUCCGUGCCAGCAGCCGCGGUAAUACGGAGGGUGCGAGCGUUAAUCGGAAUUACUGGGCGUAAAGCGUACGCAGGCGGUUUGUUAAGCGAGAUGUGAAAGCCCCGGGCUCAACCUGGGAACUGCAUUUCGAAAACCUGGGCAAAACUAGAAGUGUGAUCAGAGGGGUGGGUAAGAAAUUUUCAGGUGGUAGCCGGGUGAAAAUUGCCGUAAAGAUCUUGAAGGGAAUUACCGAUUGGCAAAGGCAAGCCACCUGGGUUCAAACAC
rnacentral:rRNA from 1 species